AUCGUAUCAGCUAGUUGGUAGGGUAACGGCCUACCAAGGCGACGACGCGUAGCCGGGCUGAGAGGUCGGCCGGCCACAUUGGGACUGAGACACUGCCCAGACUCCUACGGGGGGCUGCAGUAACGAAUCUUCCGCAAUGCACGAAAGUGUGACGGAGCGACGCCGCGUGUGGGACGAAGUUCUUCGGAAUGUAAACCACUGUCAGGGGUUAGAAAGUUCUGAUCAACCCCAGAGGAAGGCACGGCUAACUCUGUGCCAGCAGCCGCGGUAAUACAGAGGUGCCAAGCGUUAGGCGGAAUCACUGGGCUUAAAGCGUGUGUAGGCGGACUUCUAAGUGCCUUGUGAAAUCCCACGGCUCAACCGUGGAACUGCUUGGUAUACUGGGAGUCUUGAGCCACCUAGAGGCGAGCGGAACAAAUGGUGGAGCGGUGAAAUGCGUAGAUAUCAUUUGGAACGCCAAUGGUGAAAACAGCUCGCUGGGGGUGCGCUGACGCUGAGACACGAAAGCUAGGGGAGCA
rnacentral:rRNA from 1 species